AUUAGCUCAGCGGGAGAGCGCUUCCCUGACACGGAAGAGGUCACUGGUUCAAUCCCAGUAUCGCG
rnacentral:tRNA from 1 species